rnacentral:rRNA from 1 species
UAGGGAAUAUUGCUCAAUGGGCGAAAGCCUGAAGCAGCAACGCCGCGUGCACGAUGAAGGCCUUCGGGUCGUAAAGUGCUUUUCUGGGAGAUGAGAAAGGACAGUAUCCCAGGAAUAAGUCUCGGCUAACUACGUGCCAGCAGCCGCGGUAAAACGUAGGAGGCGAGCGUUAUCCGGAUUCACUGGGCGUAAAGCGCGUGCAGGUGGCUUGGUAAGUUAGGCGUGAAAUCUCCCGGCUCAACUGGGAGAGGUCGUCUAAUACUACCGGGCUAGAGAGCAGAAGAGGGAGAUGGAAUUCCCGGUGUAGUGGUGAAAUGCGUAGAUAUCGGGAGGAACACCAGUGGCGAAGGCGAUCUUCUGGUCUGUUUCUGACACUCAGACGCGACAGCUAGGGUAGUAAACGGGAUUAGAGACCCCGGUAAUCCUAGCCGUAAACGAUGUGAACUUGGCGUUGGUGGGUUAAACUCCAUCAGUGCCGCAGCAAACGCGAUAAGUUCACCGCCUGGGGACUACGGCCGCAAGGUUAA